rnacentral:lncRNA from 1 species
CCAGCUUCGCUUCAUUGGGGUGGAGUUAGUGGAUAAACGGCAGAGGGGUGAGCUGGGAAAUGACUUCCCGUCCCUUCUGCCCUCCCAGAGUGCUCCUUAGUCUUCUGUGUGGUUCAAGUCAGCUGCCAUCCGUAAGAAAGAGAAACCAGACACGAGAAGUUCAGCGUAUUACAGGACGACCACAACACAGUGGUGGCGGCAAGGAAAAACAAAUCACCACAGUGAACAACAACAUCAUCCCUGCCCUCACCAGAUGCUGUGAAUCCCGAACUCACCGAUUCCCAUAAGCAGAGGACCUACUUUAACACGUCCCGAGGGUGGGUUGACAUACGAACCACACAACCAAACAACUGAAGGCAGCUGAAGAAAACGCCAAUGAAGAGAGUUCUGCAGAACGUGUUCACUUAGUAGAAACGGUAAGAGGUGUGCGUGCCCACAGACACACGCAGAAGGACGGGCAUCAUCAAAAACAAUAAACCCUAAAGUCAGAUCCAUUAAAACCUUUGCUAUUGCAGUUAUUAUUUUAUUUACUGUGUGCCAGAAAGAUAAACCAGAGAAGAGGCUCAAACAUGCAGAAUAUGUACGAGGUCUGAAGCAGCAUCCUAGUCAGCAGCCGCACUUCACUGAACAGCUACAGUGUCAACGGAUGCUCUCCCAUUUGCGAGAUGCCUGUGAAGGGAAAUCAGAGUUUAAGGACUGUGAACAAAAAUGCACUUCAUAAAGUUAUACUGUACAGGUGGGGAAGUUUCUGGAACAUCUUUCUUCAUAUUUCAUUCAUCCUUAUAUAUAUGUACAAAAGUUGUGCUUGAUGA